CUCGCCCUAGACGAACAUCAUCCACUUUGGACAAGUGGAUCAUCAUCCCAGGAAAUUUCACAACUUCUUCCACAACAAUAACAAUAAUUCUGAAGGUUAUUUAACAACUACUGAAGCAAGGGGCCUUCCUGUAUGGAACUUCAUGCUCUCCCAGUCCAUGUGUGGGUUCUCACCAGGUACUCCAGCUUCUUCCCAACAUCCAAUAUCUAUGUUAGGGUGGGUUAGCUGGGCACUUUAAGUUGCUCUGAGGACAGUGAUUUUGUGGUUGCAUAUAGCUUGUACAAUGCUGGCCUUUGUCAAAGCAGUUCCUGCAAAUGUCCAUCCCAAAAGUGACUCUUCAUCUCAAGUCCAAUAGAAAAAUAUCUUAUUUAACACAUUUUAUACAUACAUUGAGUUACAGCCACUACCAAACAAGAAAAAAAAACUUUAUUAUUGUCACAUUGUACAAAAAUGAGGCUCCAUCAGUGGAGUGUUACAGUUUAAAAAAGAAACACAUUGUAUUGCAUGCAUGUUCAAAACAGCCUGAUCAGACCAAGGUUCCCAGUAUUUAAUGGAAACCCAAAAUUAUGUCUUAUAAAAGAAUAUCACAUCAGACCAAUUAAAAGACAGAAAUGUUAGACUUCUGAGAAGUAUAUUCAUUUCUAUGAACACUUGAUUGAUGCUCCUGGCACAGAGGCUAAAAUAGUCAUCUUAAAAUUUGAAGGUUUUGGUUCAAUUCCAGAUUCCUUACAUCAUAGGUCAAAGUGUCCCUGGACAAGACUUUAAAAGUGUCCAUCUGCGUUAUUGGACCUGGUAACUCAUCCUUCCCUCGAGAACACUCCAUAGAUUUUCUAUUGUGGAAAAGAACAAUUCUCCGCUGUUCAACUUUAAAAAUUCUAGUUCAAAAUGCAACUGUGAAAUUCUUAAAAAACAAAUAAAAUCAAAGAAACAUAUUUUAUUGCUAUACAGGUAUAACAUAUAUAAUAUACAUUAGCUGAAGUCUUUGCAACAAAUAAGAACACGUUAAUCCAAGUUGUAGUAAGCAAGCAAAGUUAUGAUAUGGAAAAUGAGCAAACUUAACCAGACCUUAUGGUACAUGGUCCAAAAGAAUUUGAUUCAUCUUCGUCCUCCAGGAGACUGAUCCAUCGUUUGAUCCUACAGGGUUGGAUCCCUCAUGUUUUCACUUGAUCCAUUACAUUUUCUCACUCCUUAUGAAACUCGGGGUUUGUGAUCCACGCCCAACUAGAACUUGUCAGCACAAGAAUUUGCUCAUCUUCGUUUACUUUUCAGACACUCUGUCAUCGGCUUGUAUAUUGGAACAGUGUAGUGCAAAUAUUCAAAAUCUAUUUACCUUUCAGGUUUUAAGAGCCGGAAGGUCCUUUUAUUUCACCUCUGUACCUUGUAGAAGAAGAGCCAAACGUCUUGAGUCCACAACAUUUCAGCCAUGAAAAGCGUGAAAAGCGCAACAGAUUCCCAGAACGUACUGAUCCGGGGUUAGGUCCCAGGUGAAACAGGGUCACUCUGGUAUCAUCUUCAGGAUUUAGUUUUAUCCCCUCCUGGGGUUAUCAUGAGGACUUUAUUCAGGUCAGAUCGUGUAUCUUGUCAUCAGCUAUGCAAGAGGCUUCUUCCCAGAUUGAUGUCUCAGGAACAGCUCCAAAUGAAGAACCGAGACUGCUUCGAAUUAAAUGCCGAACUACAUCAACACACAGGAACCAUGGUUCUACACGCAGAACUCCUGACACAUUUCUGGGCUUUCUCCUUCAAGUUUACUUUCCAAAUCUAAUUCCACUAGAUACAUUCUAUGUAAUUCAUAUUCAAAAACACAUUUAGAAGAAAUCUUAAACUUGAGUCUAUUAUUCCAAUACUAUCAGCAGCCAAUUGUCAUGAUAUUCUCCACCUAUUAUCUAGUGCCAAAAAGUGCAUUUUCACUUUUCUACUUAUUUA